rnacentral:tRNA from 6 species
GGAGAGGUGGCAGAGUGGUCGAUUGUGCAGCACUGGAAAUGCUGUGUACGGGAAACCGUACCGAGGGUUCGAAUCCCUCCCUCUCCG